GCACGCUGCAGCCCUGGCGUGGCUCGCAGUGCGCUGCUCGGGACGAGUCGAGUGAGUCCCGGGAGUUUCCUCAACUGUGAACUUCACCUGUGAAAUGGGGUAGCGUGACCUGCCAGCUGCGAGCCUUAGAUUAAACGGCUGGUGACUGGAGAGAAUUCGUCUCUGCCGUGUGCGAAGGAUUGCGGAGCUGGAGAGGAUUAACAGAUGAGGGUCUCUGUUCGCCACUUUCCUAAAGCAGGCACAGAGAUUCCUAGAGACAAGGUACUCAGCAACGCGAAGGUCCACUACUGGAGACAAGAUCAGACUUCCUGUGGAAGGUGGCAUCGGGAAGUUUAGGAUGAAGUAACCUGGUUCCAUAAAUGCAAAGGUGGACACAGACAUCGAAACUACAAACUUGUAUUGGAACACACAGCAAUAUAGAUAUGUGGGACCCACGUACAGCAGUCACGUGUCCGACUUCAGCAGUGCUCGCUACCAUCUCCACUUCCGAAGUGUGGAGCCCCGGAGCCAGGGCUGCCAGCUGGUGUUUGCUGUUAUACCCUGACACAUUUCACUCACGAUUACUUCAGUCCUCUGGAGAUACUUGUGCUACUGUGACUUGAAGCCUAACCCGGUCAUCAACAUGGGUGUGUACCAUUUAUAUAAAAACACCGCCAGCAAAAAGAGGAUACAGAGGAAGCAAAUGAGAAGGAUGAUGAAGAACGUGAUUGCCGUGGUCUCAAAGGCCAUAGGACUCACAGCCAGAUACUGUGAAGGCCACAGCUCAAGGAAGCAGGAAUAGAACAAGAUGCUAAGUCAGAAGACGAACGCAGCCUGACCCAACCAGGUAGAGAGUUAGUGGUCCAGCCUGCCUUACAGAGAGUCUUGGAGGACAUUCGAAAUAAACAUGCUGGAGUCCAGGAGAAGAGGGUCUUCCUUAAUCCCAGAGCCCCCUUCUUGGUGGGUCGCCCCCGUUGACACCCCGCUGGCCGGGGCAACUGGCGCCCAACGUGGUGGCUCAACCCUCGCCUCGUUGGGAGUUGAAUGUCCUUCUCCAGGAAAGCCCAGAUGUCUGGUGGAGAUUUUUGGUGGUCGUCCGUUGAGACCGCCCGACUCGACACCCUUUCUUGACGAUCCGGAGGAGAGCGGGAAGGACGAGGUUAGUCUAAAUUUAGGCUUAACCAUGGGAUGGGGAAGUUCUUCCCAUUACCUUUUCCUUAAGGGCUUUAAAGAGACCCUCAAGACACGAGGGAUAAGGGUUCGUUAAAAAAAAAAAGACCUCAACAAAUUCUUUAGUCACUUAGAGGACUGUUGUUCCUGGUUUCCCCAAGAAGGGACGAUUGAUGUUAAUGAUAUCCUAAAGGUUUUUUGUAAAAAAAAGUAAAAAAAAAAAAAAAAAGAUUUAGGAGACCCUUCAAAGCUGCCAA